UAAAGGUUAAGAGUUAUGUUAUUUGAUUGAGCCGUGCCAAUAUCACGUAAUAAUUAUACACCUUUGCUCUUAGUAAAAGUAUGAGAGUUCCAAAGGAUUUUGAAGUUCUUAUUGACCAUUUUUGAAAUGCAUGCAAGGUGGGUUGAAGAACCCAGACAAGAACCAUCGAAGAGGACAAUUUCAAGGAGGAUUAAAUAUUAUUAUUUUAUUGAGUUGCCAACUUGCCAUCAAGCUCAGUCAAAGCCAAAUUUCAUGCAGGGAAAUUUCCACCAAAACAUGGUUGUGAAUAGAGUAGUAUAUAUAUGGACAAAAACAAAGACAAUGUCAAAGUUAUUGUUCAGUGUGUAGCUUUUCCAUGUUUCUUGUUGUCCAAAUGGCGAUCGAAUCGACCAUUUGGUUGAAUUUAGAGAAACUUUUGAUGGGGUAGGUUACAUAGAUUUAAUCAAUGAAACUGAACUUUUAUGUUUAUCAGUUACUUCUACGUAAUGUCCACAUUUUUGACAAAUUGA